rnacentral:rRNA from 1 species
AACUAACGCUGGCGGCGCGUCUUAAACAUGCAAGUCGAACGGUAGUCCUUGAGCUUGCUUAGGGAUGAGAGUGGCGAACGGGUGAGUAACACGUGGAUAAUCUGCCUCCGGGUUGGGAUAACUGUCCGAAGGAUAGCUAAUACCGAAUGAGAUGGCGGUUACAUAAGUAGCAGCCAUUAAAGGUGGGGACCGCAAGGCCUACUGCCUGGAGAUGAGUCCGCGGCUGAUUAGCUAGUUGGUGGGGUAACGGCCUACCAAGGCGACGAUCAGUAGCCGGCCUGAGAGGGUGAACGGCCACAUUGGGACUGAGAUACGGCCCAGACUCCUACGGGAGGCAGCAGUUAAGAAUCUUGCACAAUGGGCGCAAGCCUGAUGCAGCGACGCCGCGUGAAUGAUGAAGG